rnacentral:tRNA from 1 species
UCGGCGAUAGCGCGGCGCAGCGCGGCUCGGUUUGCAGCAUCGCGAGGAGGCGCGCGGCGAGCGCCGCGCUGUCGACGAGC